UACGGAGGGUGCUAGCGUUAUUCGGAAUUACUGGGCGUAAAGCGUUCGUAGGCGGCUUUGCAAGUUAGAGGUGAAAGCCUGGAGCUCAACUCCAGAACUGCCUUUAAAACUGCAUCGCUUGAAUCCAGGAGAGGUGAGUGGAAUUCCGAGUGUAGAGGUGAAAUUCGUAGAUAUUCGGAAGAACACCAGUGGCGAAGGCGGCUCACUGGACUGGUAUUGACGCUGAGGUACGAAAGCGUGGGGAGCAAACAGG
rnacentral:rRNA from 1 species